AUACGUAGGUGGCGAGCGUUGUCCGGAAUUACUGGGCGUAAAGGGCGUGUAGGCGGAAAUUUAAGUCAGAUGUGAAAGCCCCGGGCUUAACCUGGGGACUGCAUUUGAUACUGGAUUUCUUGAGGACAGGAGAGGAAAGCGGAAUUCCUAGUGUAGCGGUGAAAUGCGUAGAUAUUAGGAGGAACACCAGUGGCGAAGGCGGCUUUCUGGACUGUAACUGACGCUGAGGCGCGAAAGCGUGGGGAGC
rnacentral:rRNA from 1 species